UACGUAGGGCGCAAGCGUUGUUCGGAAUCAUUGGGCGUAAAGGGCGCGUAGGUGGUUCUGUAUGUCUAUCGUGAAAGCGUACGGCUCAACCGUAUUUUGUCGGUAGAAACUGCAGGACUUGAGGCUGGGAGGGGCUGGUGGAAUUCCCUGUGUAGCGGUGAAAUGCGUAGAGAUGGGGGAGAACACUCGUGGCGAAGGCGGCCAGCUAGACCAGUUCUGACACUGAGGCGCGACAGCGUGGGGAGCAAACAGG
rnacentral:rRNA from 1 species